CAUUCUCUAGGCUACACCAAAGUUGAUGCUCUUCAUUCAUAACUAACCAUGCUUUGUUUUAAGAGUUUCUUCUUUCCUUUUGCUACUCUGUGACAUCAAGAGUUUACUGGCAUUCUGCAAGUUUCACUACAUCUGUAGCUUACGCAGUGCAAUAUUAAUAAACAACUUUCAUGACAGGUAAGCAGAGGUUCAGAAUGACUUGCCUGUGACCACAGAAGAUGUAACUGGUAUUGAAACAUUUGCAUCCUGACAUUUGCUGCCUGUCCACCCACUAGGAAUCCAUUCAUUUCCCAAGAUAUCUAUCUCUGAAGCCUUGUUCUGCAAAGAGAGAGUUUUCUAAGAGUUCUAGUCACAUUAGUGUCCAAUCCUGUGGAAAGGAAGAAACCCUCUGUCAGUGGCCUUUGAAAUAAUGCAGUGUCAAGCCCAUUAUGAAGCUGGCAGGACUGAUGAAAUACCGCCUUGGAGUCCUACUUCAUAGCCUUUCCUGGGCUUCUCACAUCAGGAUUGUCCCUUUUUACAGGAACAAGGUUGGCUUUGUCCCACACAAACCACAGGCAUUGUCUCACUUUUGUUAUUGUAAAUAACUGACAUCACAACAGCUGAAUGAGGAGGCUGAGGUUACAGAAAAUGUUUCUUGUACUCCAAAGGGAAUUGUAAAUAAGGAGAGGGGGAAGGGGAAUCCAACCACUUCAGAAAUACACUGGAUGCCCCAGUAACCAAUUUCUUUUGAGAGAUGUAAAUACACACCACACCCAGAAAGAUUCCAUGCAGUUGUGUCAGCAGUGACCUAAUGUGAUCCCCAGCUCCUGUGGGGUAUUACAGAUGUCCACAGAGCUACAAACACCUUGUUCUUUUUUGUCCUUAUAUGCCUUAAGUGUGUUACAGAUGUGAUGCUGACUCAGCUUUAAUGAGGAAGAUUUUCUAUUUUCUUGAGAUUUACCACUUCAAAUUCCAAAAAUACAUAUCUUACUAUCUAGUCAAGAUCAAGCACAGCAAGGACCAUGAUCCUUUCACUAACAGAAAGAUGAGUUACAGAAAUUAAUCCUUUGGCAGUUUUGUCUGGCUGACAUUUGUCUCUCUCCUUUUGACUUUUAUUACCCACCAAAUUCCCAGCAAGUUAAUAAAUUUACUUAAAGUUAUGGCAGAGAAAAUAGCCUACUGGUUGCAUCACUGGAGAUGUCCUUCCCACAAAGUGUUGUUGGGAGAUCAAGAUCUCUUUUAUUUUCCAGAAGAAAGCAUUCUUUAAGAAUAACUCUAGUCUGAGGUAAAUGUAAGAAAAAGUACAGAGAGUAUGUGGUGGUGUAAUUCUUUUACUUUAAACUCAGGAGUUUUCUUACAUAGUUGGGAAUCUUUGGUUUCUGCACAUUGUGCAAUGGGUCCAGUGAUACUAGACCCAGUAAUCCUCAUGUCUUUUCCAUCCCUAUGUUGUUUGCAGGGCAUACAGAGCCCAAGCCCUUGGAAAUCUGGGCCUCACACAGUUGCUUAGCAAGUAUGUAUAGCCAUUAAAAAUGUUAUCCAAAGGCUAUACCUGCAGACUUAGGUGCUUUCUCUUGCAGGCCCAUGGCUUCACUGAGACCCACAAGCAAGAGUGGCAUACCUGAAAUAGCUGGUGAAAUAUUUCAUGCCAGGAAAACCUGGAGCGUGUUCAAGCAUUUGGUUCAGAUGAGGGCAGUGUUUUAUGGCCCAGGGUUGGGGAAUUACAGAGCUCAUGGUUAGAUUGAUUAGAUUUCUGCUGAUAAAUUGGCCAGCAUACUUCCAUCAGUGCCCGAGUCCUUUAAUUGUAAAAUCUCAUAUGCCUCUGUUGCUGUACAGGCACAGUUACU